rnacentral:rRNA from 1 species
UACGUAGGGGGCGAGCGUUGUUCGGAAUUACUGGGCGUAAAGGGCUCGUAGGCGGCCAACUAAGUCAGACGUGAAAUCCCUCGGCUUAACCGGGGAACUGCGUCUGAUACUGGAUGGCUUGAGUUUGGGAGAGGGAUGCGGAAUUCCAGGUGUAGCGGUGAAAUGCGUAGAUAUCUGGAGGAACACCGGUGGCGAAGGCGGCAUCCUGGACCAGUAUUGACGCUGAGGAGCGAAAGCCAGGGGAGCAAACGGG